GCAUUGGUGAUUCAGUGGUUGAAUUCUCACCUUCCACGCAGGAGAUCCAGGUUUGAUUCCUGGCCAAUGUG
rnacentral:tRNA from 1 species